AUACUUACCUGGCAGGGGAGAUACCAUGAUCACGAAGGUGGUUUUCCCAGGGCGAGGCUUAUCCAUUGCACUCCGGAUGUGCUGACCCCUGCGAUUUCCCCAAAUGUGGGAAACUCGACUGCAUAAUUUGUGGUAGUGGGGGACUGCGUUCGCGCUUUCCCCUGGUUUUUCUCUGUGGCUAAAAGCAGAAAUAGGGAUCUGAGGCGUAAUCCUGGGGGUGUUGCUGUGUGUGACUGUCUGAGAAAGAAUGCUGAGGGUCGUUUUUCUACCUAGUGAGGAACUUCCCUAGGGCAGGAUACAGCCGGACUCGGCCCAUUUCCUGGGCCAGACCCACGAAAUCAGGAGGCGCCGCGUAGCCGGCUUCUCGAAGCUGUCUUCCCACCCGUGUCCUGUUUUCGGAGGCUUCAUGUCUUGCGUGGUUCCUCAUAUGUGAAAUGAGGAUGAUGACAUGAUGCAAGCCUUUUGAAAGGAUUAAUUUCCCACCCCAGGCCCUGCAGACCGGCCUGCAAAGGGGAAAAGUGGAGUGUGUGCGGUUCCCUGCCCGCCAGUCAUCCCCAAAGCAGCCGCCAGGACUUCCACUCACCUGCAGACUCUGCACAGCCCACCUCACCGGCUCCGCACGGAACCCGCGAAGGAAACUUGGCCAGGACAAAUGCCAGGCCAGCAGCUUUGCGAUUGAGGGUGAACCGGGUUCCCGGACGCGUCAGUAAAGGGUGGGAACUGCUCCAGAGUGAGGCGCUCGCUCUGGUCGCCCCAACUCAGCGACCGUCCCCGCCGCGGUACCCGCCCGCUCCUCUCCCUUCCAGUCCCUUUCUCCCUUCUGGCUCAUCCUCUCUUCUCUCCUGCCCUUGCCCUUCCUCGGAUCUUUUCGCCGGCCUCACACCUUUCUUUUCCCGUCCUCCAAAGACAGCUGCGUCAUUGAGUCCUUUGUAACCGCUGAAAGUUCCAAAAUACAAGCAUCAGAGAGAUGCUCCUCAGCACCGCGAAGGGAGCACUUUCACUGGCUUUUCAAGUCCAUCACGGGCCUCAUCCAUAUUUUUCUCCCGAGCAGUAGAGGACACAAGUGGGGCGUCUUCUCGGUGGAGCAGAGUCCCGGCAGGACGAAGGGGGCCCGGCCGGGGGUGCGGACUCCGAGCGGCUCGUCGCGCCUUCGGCCCCGGAGCAGCCUGGCCGGGCGGCCGUGGGUCAGGGACCUGGGGUCUCCUCAGACGCCGGAAUCCGCGACUCCCGCUCCUCUUUCGGGCUGAGCUUGGGACCAGAGGACGCGAUUUCCAGGAGUCAAGGUUCAAAUCUUGGCCGAACAGCGGCUUUGCGUGCCCAGCGGAGACUUAGGAGCGAGAAACUCUGAAUAAAAUCAUAAUAAACUGGGACAAGAUCAAUUAAUAUUCGGAAUGAUAGAGAGCCUGAAUAAAACACAGUUCAUUCCAGUCAGGUCUGGAACCUUCCACCCGAAAGCUGCCAUCCUGGUUGAUCAGCGACAUCGCAGCCCCUCCCCGCCGCCAUUUACGCACCGGGACUACCGUGCAGUUACAAGGCGUGCGGUGUGAAGCCCCCUCGUGGGGCAGGACUCGGUGGGCGCAGCCUCUGCCUUUUACCCCCGAGACCCAGGGGACCCGACGAGGGAGCGGCACUGGCUGGGUCGCUGCGCCUCUGGCCGAGGGGGGCGGGGCGGGGAGCAGGAGAGGCGCCGGCCCUCCGAUGCCCAGGGAUGGGCAGAGCCGCCCGGGCCCAGCGAGGACGCCCCCGGUCCCGGUCGGUCCCACACCUGUCCGCAGGGUCCGUG
ensembl:lncRNA